CAUAUCAUCCUUAUUCUUUGGGUGCUUUAGUUGGACACCUAAAUGAUCUUCUGUUCAGAACAUAUUAUAGCAUUUGUGCAGUAAGUUCAUUUUGGAAGGAACACAUCUUUAAUUAGAGUUUGUGCAAUAGCUGGUAAGAUGAUGUUAUUGUUCGUUACUGGUAUUUAUAACAAAUACAGCACUAUACAUAAUAAAUAGUAAUAACAUCAAAUAUCUGUGUGUAAGCAGAAGUUCUGACUAAGAGUAGUACCUUCUCUCCUUUAUAUCCAGAUUUCCCCUGGGAAAAUAAAAAAAAAGCAAAGCAGGUUGUGAGGAUAUAUAACCCAAAUGUAAGCAUGUGUUUUGCCUUGAAGGAACACUAACUGCUCAUGGGAGAAGAAGGUAAAAAAUCUUCUUUUACCUCUAUUCCAUCUCGUCCUGGAAUUCCAUUGAGACCUGGCUCCCCCUAUGAAUAAUCCAACAUCAAGAUCAGUGAAAUCAGUAUAAGAUUGUAUUGCCCUGAUUAACUGAGUAGAUAUCUCAUUGCAGUACAGGCAGCAUACCAGCUCCCUCUUUUUACCGUUUGAUGAUUUUACACAUUAUAUGUAAGCUUUUAAUUUGUAAAGAAUCUUAGUCUUUACUAUAGCAAAAGGGUGUAGGUGACGUUCAAAACACUCACAGGCGGAAAGUACAUGGGCACUAUUAGGAUGGUCUUUUCAUAUUAAUGAAGUACCAACUCUUUCUCCUAAACCUGAAAAAUCACAUUACCUUUGUUCCUUUCAGGCCUGGAGCUCCAUCAUCACCAGUGCGACCCUUUUUACCCUGAAAACAAUGAAAUAAAAGUAACAAAAUUCUGAUACGUUAGCCAACUAAUUUUGUUUUACAAUAUAUACACUUUUUUUUUUUUAUAUUUAGGUUAUUUGCUUUAGCCUCUUGCUCUCACUCUUGUAAGAGAGCUUUUCGAGAGCUUCUCAGAUAUUAAUGUUUGAUUUGGGCCUAGUUAGAUCCACCUGGUCUGGUUGUCUCAUUGUGAAUAACAGGUGAAUUACUGUUCCAUACAGGAAAGUUGCUCCUUCCUGCCUUUUGAACUGCUGUGGCUAAAAGGAGAGGCUCAGCUCAGCAUAUCACACUGCUGUUUUCAGGAGCAUCUGAUGACAUUCUCAGGUGUCUCUGUGGAUUUCCUAUUGGUGUAGCACUUCUAUGCAAUGUAACUAGCAUUGAACAUUCAACUUUUGAUGUCUCAGGAUUUGGGUUCAAAUAAUUUCCUAAAAAAAGAAUCCAAUAAUUAAAUAAAUUUUGAUUUACAAUGUUUAUCAGUUAUUUGAGAAAUGACAGCUACUUACAGCAGGACCAGGAAGGCCUCUUUCCCCCUUCUCACAGUUACAUGUGGCAGCCUGGGGACACUUUGAAUGAAAAUAGUCCAAAUCAGCACAUUUUAAUAGAAAGGAUAGAAAACACAUGACCAUUGCUUUUAAGUUACUAUAUGUAAUGACAUGGUUAUAUUUACAUAUUUUACAGAAAUCUUUCAACUGUCAGUUUACCACUCAUGAGGAACGUGGUCUCCUACACUCCAUCCAAAAAUCCGUAUCAUUCCUAGUCUUGAAAUUUCAGUCAUGUUGGUAAUGGCUUUACCUCCAAAUUUUUCACAAGGCUUCAAAAUUGUGAGUGAAAUUAUUUUAAACAUCUGUCACCACAAAUGUGAGACCCUCAUGGAGAUAGAGCAUAUCGAGGCUGAGGAAUUUGCUUCAGAACAGAUGCCCCAGGGAAUAAGAAACUGAAGGUGAGGUUAUGUCAUGUAGAAUAAAAUGAGGAGUGUUGUAGUGGUUUUAUAUAUUCAUUAUGUCCUCUUGCCUGAUAUUUCACUGAAUAUCCUACCAGGAUGAGGACUGGGAAGGUGGAAGUCAUCUACAGGAAAAUGAAUCUUACUGAAUAAGACACUGGAAUGUAAUUUGUUGGAGCUAGAUUUUGUCCCUGAUACUGACACAGUGACAUAGAAGUUUUCUAAAGUAGGAUCUGCAGAGCAUUAAUUUUCUGAACUACUGACAUUACUUCUAUAGGCAUACAGUUAUAUGGGCUAUUGACAAUAAGAGGCUAUCAGCCAUACCACAGUAAAGCCCCAAAGCAAUCUCUUUUUCUGGGAUACAUAAAAGGGGAUGAGAAAGAUGGGAGUAGAAAGACAAAAGUGCAAAAAUAAGGCAUGUGAAAAUGUAGGAUGAGGU